rnacentral:misc_RNA from 1 species
AAGGAGUCCAAUACAUAUGCGAGUGUUUGGGUGGCAAACCCGAGCGCGGAAUGAAAGUAAAUGCAGGUGGGAUCUCUCACGCGUGCACCAUCGACCGGUCUGGAUUCUUCUGAAAGAUCUGAGUAAGAGCAUACGUGUUCGGACCCGAAAGAUGGUGAACUAUGCCUGAAUAGGGUGAAGCCAGAGGAAACUCUGGUGGAGGCUCGCAGCGGUUCUGACGUGCAAAUCGAUCGUCAAAUUUGGGCAUAGGGGCGAAAGACUAAUCGAACCUUCUAGUAGCUGGUUCCCUC